GAAGAAACUGAGCGAGCCGACAGGCUGGGUCUAACCGAACGCACAAGACCAGCCGGACCUUAUCCGAAAACCUGCCCACCUUCAAAUCGCCGUGGACGACCAAGGAGACGGCGGCCGUGGGCACAGGAGGGGAAUCCGCAUCCGGGGGGAACAAGAGCAGAGGAAUCGGGAAGAGAUCCGUGUUGGUGGUAACUGGAGUUGAUAGCCGGAUUCCCGGAGGGAGACGAAUUCGACCUAGCAGCGGAGUUGGGAGCCCGAUUCCAGGUGGGAGACGGCAGAGAUCACCAAGAAGGACGACAUCAAUCGCUA